rnacentral:rRNA from 1 species
AGGUGAGAAUCCCGUAUGUGACCAGUGACCGAUCCCAUGUGAAACUCCUUCGACGAGUCGAGUUGUUUGGGAAUGCAGCUCAAAAUGGGUGGUAAAUUUCAUCUAAAGCUAAAUACUGGCUGGAGACCGAUAGCGCACAAGUAGAGUGAUCGAAAGAUGAAAAGCACUUUGGAAAGAGAGUCAAACAGUACGUGAAAUUGUUGAAAGGGAAGCGCUUGCAACCAGACCUGUCCGUAGGUGAUCAGCCGCCGUUCUCGGUGGUGCACUCGCCUACGAUCAGGCCAGCAUCGGUUCGGGCGGUCGGAUAAAGGCCUUGGGAAUGUAGCUCCUCUCGAGGAGUCUUAUAGCCCUCGGUGCAAUGCGGCCAACCCGGACCGAGGACCGCGCUUCGGCUAGGAUGCUGGCGUAAUGGUUGUAAGCGACCCGUCUUGAAACACGGACCAAGGAGUCUAACAUCUAUGCGAGUGUUUGGGUGUCAAACCCAUACGCGGAAUGAAAGUGAACGGAGGUGAGAACCCUUUAGGGCGCAUCAUCGACCGAUCCAGAUGUCUUCGGAUGGAUUUGAGUAUGAGCAUAGCUGUUGGGACCCGAAAGAUGGUGAACUAUGCCUGAAUAGGGUGAAGCCAGAGGAAACUCUGGUGGAGGCUCGCAGCGGU